rnacentral:rRNA from 1 species
UACGAAGGGGGCUAGCGCUGCUCGGAAUCACUGGGCGUAAAGGGUGCGUAGGCGGGUCUUUAAGUCAGGGGUGAAAUCCUGGAGCUCAACUCCAGAACUGCCUUUGAUACUGAGGAUCUUGAGUUCGGGAGAGGAGAGUGGAACUGCGAGUGUAGAGGUGAAAUUCGUAGAUAUUCGCAAGAACACCAGUGGCGAAGGCGGCUCACUGGCCCGAUACUGACGCUGAGGCACGAAAGCGUGGGGAGCAAACAGG